rnacentral:rRNA from 1 species
AUUGAACGCUGGCGGCGUGCUUAACACAUGCAAGUCGAGCGGUAAGGCCCUUUCGGGGGUACACGAGCGGCGAACGGGUGAGUAACACGUGGGUGACCUGCCCUCAGCUCUGGGAUAAGCCUGGGAAACCGGGUCUAAUACCGGAUAUGACUCCAUGACGCAUGUUGUGGGGUGGAAAGCCUUGUGCGGCUGAGGAUGGGCCCGCGGCCUAUCAGCUUGUUGGUGGGGUGAGGCCUACCAAGGCGACGACGGGUAGCCGGCCUGAGAGGGCGACCGGCCACACUGGGACUGAGACACGGCCCAGACUCCUACGGGAGGCAGCAGUGGGGAAUCUUGCGCAAUGGGCGAAAGCCUGACGCAGCGACGCCGCGUGAGGGAUGAC